rfam:Felis catus isolate Cinnamon breed Abyssinian chromosome A1, whole genome shotgun sequence.
GCCUGAGUGGCUCAGUUGGUUAAGCAUCCGACUUGGGCUCAGGUCAUAAUCUCACAGUUUGUGAGUUCGAGCCCCACGUCAGGCU